UAGAGUUUGAUUCUGGCUCAGAUUGAACGCUGGCGGCAUGGCUAAAACAUGCAAGUCGAGCGCGAAAGGGGAGCAAUCCCUGAGUAGAGCGGCGAAAGGGUGAGUAAUACGUUCCUACGUGCCUCGAGGUCGGGGAUAGCCAAGGGAAACCUUGGGUAAUACCCGAUGUGGUCCACGGAUCAAAGGCUUGCCGCCUUGAGAGCGGGGAACGUCCUAUCAGGUAGUUGGUGAGGUAACGGCUCACCAAGCCGAAGACGGGUAGCGGGUGUGAGAGCACGGCCCGCCACAUCGGAACUGAGACACUGUCCGGACUCCUACGGGAGGCUGCAGUAACGAAUCUUCCGCAAUGCGCGAAAGCGUGACGGAGCAAUGCCGCGUGCAGGAUGAAGCCCUUCGGGGUGUAAACUGCUGUCAGGGUCGAGGAACACAAUGACCAGACCCAAAGGAAGGGCCGACUAACUCUGUGCCAGCAGUCGCGGUAAUACAGAGGGCCCGAGCGUUACUCGGAAUAACUGGGCUUAAAGCGUACGUAGGCGGACGUGCAGGCAUCUUGUGAAAUCCCUCGGCUCAACCGAGGAACUGCGGGGUGAACCGCACGUCUUGAGGCAAGUAGGGGCUGUCGGAACGAUAGGUGGAGCGGUGAAAUGCGUUGAUAUCUAUCGGAACGCCGAAGGUGAAAACAGGCAGCUGGGCUUGUUCUGACGCUGAGGUACGAAAGCGUGGGGAGCAAACGGGAUUAGAUACCCCGGUAGUCCACGCCGUAAACGAUGUGCACUAGAUCGGGGAGGUUCUGACACCCUCCUGGUCGAAGCAAAAGUGUUUAGUGCACCGCCAGGGGAGUACGGUCGCAAGGCUAAAACUCAAAUGAAUUGACGGGG
rnacentral:rRNA from 1 species